rnacentral:misc_RNA from 1 species
GGAAGCUUUGUAUAAUGCUGGAAGAUUGACAGAUAUAGAUAUGAAGCGAUCACAUAGACAUAGAACCAGAAGAAAGUCCGGAAAAUAACAUCUAGCGAGUCAAGAGGAGCAAAGUAUGAACGAAAUCGGAGAUGGUCAUAUUGCUAAAUUUUUGGAGAAAGAGCAAUGGUUUGCUUUUGUAGCAAAGCUUUUCAAGGACAAGUGACCACAAAAACACUACAUUGCUUUGUAUUUUUUUCUCUUCCUGUGGCCUUGCAACAAUUUCUGUACAACAUGGCCUGUAAUUGAAUUGAUA